rnacentral:lncRNA from 1 species
GGCCAUUGAUAAAGCACCUGCUGGAAGUUCUUCACAGAUAUCACGUGGAAAUUAUAUGAAAUAAUCUCUGCCCCUUACAUGUGGCAGUGGCUUCAGACUUCAACAUGCAUACUCAUGCCCUGCAGAUGAAUGUCUAGCUGGAGAAGGGAGCUGCUGAGCAGACAGAGGAUGGAACGUGUGGAACUUUCUUCAGACAGAGAUAAUCAUCUUCAGAUGUUCAGUUUUCCUAAUUCCACCUGCCUCUACCAAGCAGCUAUUCCCAGUCUUUUCUUAGUCUGGUGAGCAGAAGGAUAC